rnacentral:misc_RNA from 1 species
CCUUUAACCGAAAGAGCUGAAAUUUUAUAUACACGUUUAUUAUGAAUGACAAUGCAUGUCGCUAUGUGACAUGUUUAUAAAUCUAACAUGGCGGAAAGUGUAGGUAUCAAAAAAAAGGCUUGCUAAGCAGAAUACGAAAAAUAAAUUUGCUUUGCCCUAAAACCAAUAUGGCGGACUUCUAAAGAUUGCGGACUGAGUUGAGGAUUUCCUACAAUAUGGGUAUCAAAUGAAAGGGUUCGCAUAGCUACAACGAAAGUAAAAUAAGUUGUGUAAAUAAAGUAACUCGUUAAAUAGCCUUACUCUAAAUACAAAAUGGCAGACAUGUCAUGUAAUAAUAAUAUGAGAGAUUUAUAUAUGUAGACAAACAAGGAAAUUAAAUAAGUUGAUCU